rnacentral:rRNA from 1 species
CAAGGAUUGACUGAGCUCGAGGGAUUGAGGGAUACUCGAAGGAAUUGUCGGGGACUCGAGGAAUUGACGGAGACUCAAAGAAGUUGACGGAGACUCAUAGGAUUUGACGGGGGUCCUCCGUGCCACCGGCCGCGGUAAUACGGAGGUGGCAGGCGUUAUCCGGAUUCACUGGGUUUAAAGGGUGCGUAGGGGGGUUUGUAAGUCAGUGGUGAAAUCUCCAAGCUAAACUUGGAAACUGCCUUGGAUACUAUGAGUCUUGAAUUCUGUGGAGGUGGGCGGAAUAUGUCAUGUAGCGGUGAAAUGCUUAAAUAUGACAUAGAACACCGAUUGCAAAGGCACCUCACUACCCGAAAAUUGACGCUGAGGCACGAAAGCGUGGGGAUCAAACAGGAUUAGAUACCCUGGUAGUCCACGCCCUAAACAAUGAUUACUCGACAUACGCGAUACACUGUGUGUGUCUGAGCGAAAGCUUUAAGUAUCCCACCUGGGAAGUACAUCCGCAGGGUUGAAACUCAAAGGAAUUUGACGG